UACGAAGGGGGGCUAGCGUUGCUCGGAAUGACUGGGCGUAAAGGGCGCGUAGGCGGAUUGCUUUGUCAGACGUGAAAUUCCAGGGCUCAACCUUGGGGCUGCGUUUGAGACGGGUGAUCUUGAGUGGAGAAGAGGGUCGUGGAAUUCCCAGUGUAGAGGUGAAAUUCGUAGAUAUUGGGAAGAACACCGGUGGCGAAGGCGGCGACCUGGUCUUUUACUGACGCUGAGGCGCGAAAGCGUGGGGAGCAAACAGG
rnacentral:rRNA from 1 species